rnacentral:lncRNA from 1 species
GGUUCGGGCACAGCGCGCGACGGGAUGGUUCUGUCCAUGGCGCUGUGCUGACCCCAAGUCGCUUAUCGAUCGCCAUGGCGAUUUCCGGCCCGGGGGAUGCCAAAGGUGCCUCUGGCAUCACGCAGAGAGCUCUGGCCAUCGCGCCACAUGCCGGCGAGCACCGGGUGAAGAGCAGAUGAUGGCAGCGGCCAGCGCGCUCACGCAUUCCAGGGGCUGUUUGUUGCCUCCACGCCACGCCCACAACCUGCUCGACGCUGGUCCUCCUCCGUUGAAUGCCCAUGUCCUCUCUACCGAACCCACUGAGCGUUGCUGGCUUGUUCGGGCACGGAGCAUCGCAUGAGUGGAAUACUUCAUGUUAAGCUCACACUGCAGUCUGCACAAGCUGUUUCUUACAAAGGACGGGGUCACGGGGGACAUAUGGUGGAGCACUACAAAGAGGACAGGUUUAAUGCAAUUGUUCGUCCUGCAAAGAUUUUCACCAGCGCAUCAUAUAAGGUUUGCCCAUAAAGUCCAUAACUAUUUUCAAUCUCCCCUUUUUGAUUUUUUUUGACCAUGGGCUUGGCAUCGCAUGUUCCUUCUAGUAAUUCCUUUCAAUCAUUUUGAGCUCAUACUGAUCAGAACCACAGAAGACACAAAGUAAUCUCACAUAGUUUUAGGAGGAAAAGACAAAAGUAUGUUGCGUGUGACCAUGAAAAGUAAACAUAUGUUAGUAAAGAAAGAACAAACAACCUGACUUUCUCAUAUUGCACUCAGUUAUGCCCCAAACUCAAACAAUUAUCAAACCUUGAUUUACACACUAUCUGUAUUUACAAAUCGUUCUUCAGUCACACAACAUUUCAAUGCAAUGGCGAUAGCGAAACCUUGAUGUUUACUAGUACCAACACACUAUACUACACCUCAAGUAAAUAGCAUACAAAUGUACAAAUAGCAACAAAAAUAUACACACUCUAAGGUGAAUGCAGUAUCAAGCUUUUGGUAAUUCAGAUUUUGUGUGUCCAGGCUUGCCUAUGAUAGCUUUCUUCACUUUUGCUAGUUGGUGCUUUACCUUUGAUCCGACACCAGAUAAGAUAUUAUGCUUUUUAGGCGAUGACUUCUGCCCUGCCUCCCGUUCUUCAAUUUUCAUUGGUGUGUCAUCAGCGAAAUUCUUAGCUUCCUCGUCACCAUUUGUCUUUUUGUCAUAACUCUUCUCUUCUGCAAUGUUUGAUACAUCUUUCUUUGGACUUUGUUCUUCAUCUGUGCUGAACUCUGGCUCUUUUAUAUCCACAGAAUUUUCUUCACUCUCAGGAGCUUCUGUUGGUGAAAUCACAUCGAGAUUAUGUUUCUGAUUGUGUGAUGCCUUUUGUACUGCUCCUUGUUCUUCAAUUUUGGCUUUCGCUUCAUCAGUGAAACUCUUAGCUUCCUGUACAUCCUUUGUCUUCUCAUCAGAAGUUUUCUCUCCUGCCAUAUUUGAUUCAUCUUUCUUUGGACUUUGUUCUUCAAUUAUGCUGAAUUCUGGCUUUGACUGCACAAAAUUUUCUUCAACCUCAGGAGCUUCUUCUGGUGAAGCCACAUCGAGAUCACGUUUCUGAACCUGUGAAUUAAAUGUUUCUUGCUCUUCAUUUGAUUGUGCGUUCACUGUUUGCACAUGGCUAUCAACAGUUUCGUUUACAUUCACUUCUUUGAUCACAGGCUCUCUUAUGGCCAAAUAAUUCUGAUCACCUUCAUCAGAUUCUUUAGGAGAUUUUUGUGCAACUUCCGUUUCCUGCUCCAUCUGCAAAUUAGAUUCUCCUGACUUAUCUAGCAGGUUGUUCUUCUCCAUCACAAUUUGGUCGCCUGCAGAUUCAUCUUGCUUAUCUUGGUCUAUAUGUAAGCUGGAACCAUCUAACUGAAUUUCCAAAGCUUUCUCAGAGUUGUCUAGGUCACUGUUUGAGAACUUAUAGCUUUGUUUUUCAUCCUUGCACUCUGAGACUGCAGAAAUCUCCUUUUCCUGAACCAAAUUUAUCUCAUUGCCCAUAACUGGUUCAGUAAUUUCACCUUUCUGCUCAUCAGAUAUUGCUUCUGCACCUUUGUGCGAGAUAUCAUGCAUAUUUUCUAUCUGUUCUUCUGUAGCUCCACCUGUGGUAGUUAUCUGCUGAUUCUCUUCUUCCUUGUCUACUCCAUUCUCCAGUUCUGCCUCUACAGUACUUUCGCCCUCAAUGAUGGAAGAUUCAUUGGACUCUUCUCUUUUUGUGCUCAGAGGACUUUGAAGAUCAUCAGUGUUAUUAGGAAAAUCCUUUUCAUCACCCAUAUUUGGUUCUGUCGACAAGAGUGUUUGCCCGGAUACUGCAUCAGAACUUCUAUUUUCAGGUAAAUGCUUGUGGUGAAGGUCUGUUCUUCCUUCCUCUAAUGCCUCCUCUUGAGAAACCUUUGGGCUUGUUAUGUCAUCAAGGUUGCUCUUCAAGCUUCCUUCCUCAAUCUGUGUUGUCGCUUCCAUAUGUUCCUGACAAACAGAAUUGGUUGCCUUUUCACCCAGCUUGAUAUCUCUUGUUUCCAUUUCUGUAAUCAGGCCAGAUCCACCAGGUACCACCAGUUCACUGGAAGUUUCACCUUGGACACUGUUUUGGCAUACUGGUGCUUCCAAAUCAUGAGUGUUCCUAUUGAGUUCCUCAUCCUUUUCCAGCUUGAUAUCAUGUGUUUCUUCAGAGCCUUCUAAAUUAUGUUUUCCUUUUUCAGAAAUGAGUUCCUUUUCCACCAUAUUUUCUGUAGGAAUUGGCACCAAGCUUUCUUCCUGCUCCGAGGUGAUCAAAGAACUGUCAUCUUUUGUGGUUUCUUCUUGCUUCUUUUCAGCUUCAAAUUCUGAAUUUCCAUCUGGCUCAUUGCUCUCUUUUCCCAUUAUCAGGUUCAUCAGAAAAUGGGAGACAGGCAAAUCACUUUGUUCAGCUUCGUUUUCUUCUUUCUCCGUGUCACCAGUUUCUUGCUCUUGUAUGUUCUCUUCACCUUGUUCUUUGGUUAUUUGAUUCUCUUCUUGCUCUUCUGAUUCGGUGGGGAGUGGCUUCUCUAGAAACAACUCUCUUUCUGUCACCUCUAACUCAGAUGCCUGUUCAGUUUCAUUUCUGUCCACGGCGGAGUGUGCACGAAGAUCAAACUUAUGAUGUUCAUUGUCUUCGUUUAUACUUUCUCCUGUUGCUGUAACUGCAGGUGAAGCCUCAAGAUUCCUUCCGUUCUCCUCGAUGGUCUCGAGAUUUUCAUCAGAUAGUGCCCCAUCAGCUCUACUAGCCUAGAUUGGAAAAGUGAAAUUAGCUUUAAAAGAACAAACUUAAACCUGCAUUAAUAUUAGCUAAAGAAUUUGUCCACUGACCUUAUCAUAGAUAGCUUCACCGAGUUUGAUUGAUUCAGUGGAUGCUGUAUAGCCAGUCGCUAUUUCCUCAUUCGAGUCAGUUUCAACUUCUCCACCAUUCUGCUUUGUUGCCAACUUGUCAUCUACAACCUGAAUGACAGAAUUUUUUCCGUUUAUUUCUCUUACUAUAAAGUAACAGCCUUAAAAAUUUAUUAAAAGAAGUUUUGACCAGAAAAUUUGGUCGCACAAACUUUUUAAGAGUAUCAGUACUGACCUUUGGAUGAGUGCUCAAGUCCUGCUCAACAUCAUUCUGUUUAGGAUUUUCCACCACAUAUUCUGAAAUGGAACUGAAUCCCUUGUUUUCCUCCACCUCUUCAAUUUCUGUGGGCUGUUUAUCGAUCCUUCCAUGUAUCAUUUCUGCACUUGGGCUCAUGGUAUCAUCCAUUUUAGUAUCUGUGCUGUUACUGGAAUGCAGUCCAGACGCCUCUUCAUCUACAGGUUUGGUCUCAGUUUUGUCAUGAUUAACAUCGGUGUCUUCAUUUUGUAUUUCUUCCUUCUUUUCCACCUCAUCAACGAUCUCUUCUUCUAAUGCUUGAGGGACCUGCAUACCAUCAUUGGGCUUGUUUAUGCAUUCUUCCUCUUCUGAGUGCACUCUGGACUCAAUAUUCUGAGGAACAGCUGUAGGAUCCUGCACAUCAGUUAAUUGUUCAUUUUGCUGAUCAUUAUGAUAUCAUUAAAUAUUGAGAGUGACUGGUAUCUUUGUUUCUUGCACAGCAGGUGAAGAAACAAGCUACUCUGUACCACUGAAAUGACAGACGGAGAUACUGUGUAGAAGGGUUUUUUCUACUGGCUGCAAAUCUCAAGCUCAUGUCUCUUCAUUUUAUUGAUAUUCUAU